rnacentral:RNase_P_RNA from 1 species
GCCAGAUAAUCGCUCUUAAUUGAGAGGAAAGUCCGGGCUCCUUUGGACAAGACGCCAGGUAACUCCUGGGAGAUGUAAAUCUACGGAAAGUGCAACAGAAAAUUAACCGCCUAAAUUUAGGUAAGGGUGAAAAGGUGUGGUAAGAGCGCACCGCAUACCAGGUAACUGAGUAUGGCAAGGCAAACCCCGUCUGGAGCAAGACCAAAUAGAAGUUCAAUAGUUAGUCCUGACUGAACUUGGGUAGGUUGCUUGAAUUUUACGGUGACGUAAGAUCUAGAUGAAUGAUUAUCCUAGACAGAACCCGGCUUACAGGUUAGCUCA